rnacentral:lncRNA from 1 species
CAUAAACUCUUCCCUUGGGUACUUGGUCAUUCAGCCAACCAUCCCCACUGACUUAAGUAACCCUUGGGAAGUCUUCAAACAGCUAAGGAUAUGCAUUUGGCCCUUCCCGGCUCAUGCUUCAUUCAACAUCCUUUAGCUUAUCAGCUUAUGAAACCAAGUCUAGCUCAUGGACUAACAAUGUCAAGUCCUCACAAAGACUAACAAUGCCCAUCAGAUCCUAAGUCAAUCAACCAACCACCCCACAUGACUCAGCAGUCUUCAUACUUCCUAAUCAGUCAUGGAAGCAUGUCCCACUAAACCUGAUUAGUGUUGCUCUUACCACCAGUGCAUCCUUUGAUCAAUCAUAUCAGACACCUUGAUCCAACCUCCAAGGAUCAGGUCAUCCAUCCUUGCCCAUGAUC